GCGUCAGUAUUGCAACGGUUCAGCACGGGCCCUCUGAUAGGGUGAAAUCUGGGUUCGAAUCCUAGCUGACGCA